rnacentral:miRNA from 1 species
GGCACCUUCCCGUGUGUGUGUGUGUGUGUGUGUGUGUGUGUGUGUGUGUGCAUGCGCAUGCACUCACAUGACCACUUAGGCAGGGCCACUCAGG